UGCGGAGGUGCGUUUGUGCUCACUCGCGUGGCGGUCGUCUGUUGGACUCGUAGCGGGUUCCUGCUCGGCGACUUGCGGCUCGUCGACGGGCAAGAGGACG
rnacentral:misc_RNA from 1 species